rnacentral:lncRNA from 1 species
CUUGUAGGAAAAUGCUCUGAGGUUGUGAGACCUGCCAUGGACUAUUUGGCCCUGGAACUGCUUUAACUAUGAUUUUCUAGAUGAAAAAGUUCUGCCAUAGAGAGUGAAUCCUAAGAAAGACAAAUUAUACACCAAACACAAAGUCCCACAGCCUUCAGCUUCUGAAUUUCCCCCAAAGAUCUCCCCACGUCAAGACUGGCUGCACCAGGGAUGGGAACUAGCAACUCUGCAGGCCCCACACCUUAACCAGGUGUGCAAACAGGCCACUGGCACGAGGCAAAGGCAGAAGCUUUCUUAGGCCACACUUGGAGAGAGAACGCUGCACCCUCGGGGGCCGGGCGGGGCUGACGGUCACAGCCGCACCUGCACCUGCGGAGGAAAACAGCUGCUGGCCCGUCAGUUUAGACGCGGCGUUCACAGCUGCAGCGGGUUCCCUCGGCCCGCGGCUUUCAGGCGCCACGUGGACCCCGUGAGAGCCCCGUGCGCACUUGGGCCCCUCCCCGAGCCGCCCCCACACAGGAGCCUGUGGCCAACGUCCCGGGGAGCGUUUUCACCCCGCGGCCUGGGACUGGGGGAGGCCGGAGAGGUCUCCGGAGCCACGCGCCAGGCUGCGGCCUCCCGGGUCCCCUGCGGGCUGCGCUGCACCACGCCCUCCCCGCUGUUUUCCUCCGGCCCGCGGGGCUGGCGGCUGCGCUGCUGCAGGCACCGGGGCCCAUGGGGGCUGCGCGGGUCUCCAAGGAGGAAAGGCCCGGGGGCUCCUUCAGAGUUUCCCCAGAUAACAUCCAAGGAUGGAGAAGGAGACGGAAAGCAGAGAGAGCUUGAAGAGUCAAGAAAAUUUCUUUUAUGCUGUCUACAGCUUUCAACAAUUGAACAGGGUAUACUCCUGUGAACAAAAUUUGCAGCAUAUUUCUUUUUCGCCUGGUUCCUCUAGAAUUUGGAAACUAUUUGUGAGUAUUCUUAACUUAUGGCAGUAUAGUUAUUUGCAUUAGUGCAAUAGAAUCCAUUUUAUUUUGCAACAAGAUGUAAGUGCAGAAACUGGUUCUUUUACCAAGGCUUUGAUUGGAAUGGUGUGCUUUCCUUUAGGGGAUCAAGCCUGAAUUGCAGAGUCAAUAAAAACCCCUUGGGAAAAACAGCCUCAUAACUUGCCUACACAGUCCCUGAACAGGAUUCCUAACACAUGGUAAGUAAAGAAUGUCACUUUCUAACAGGCUCAGGAGCCACAUGCUAUCUUAGGAUCUCCAGAAGAGAGAAAUUAACCCAACUCAUAAGUGUUGGAGGAUAUAAACCCAUGGCUAGGCUCGGCUUUAAAAGGUCUUAUCUGAAAUUCUUGUCAAGAGAGUUCCAUCAAAGCCAAUUUUAAAGGCCUAUGUAAAAAAUAAUUAUUUUUGCUGCACUUUAUGCAAAUAAUUAGAUUAAGUAAAAAACUAAAGUUUAUUUUGCAAACCACUCAGUCCCAACAUGAUUUGUUUUUAACCAGAAUAAAGACCAGAGAGAGAAAAAUUAAGUUUCAAAACUUAUUGUACACUUGUCAUGAAAUUCUAGUCUCUUUAGUUGUUGUUGUCUGCAUUUGAAACUGAAUGAUAUUCCUGUGAAGCAACCAGUGAUCUCCAGCUGCAGCUCAGGAGAAAACCAAUUAGGAAAGAGUAGGUAUUUGUAAACUAGGUGAAGCGUGGGGAUCAAUCAGAGGAAAGCACACCAAAUGAAAACACAGGUUCUCAGUCUAGUCUGUGGAUCAUACUUGUAGCACAGCUUUCAGGCUUUAAACUGUCUUCAGCUUGGAGGUAAGUUUCACCAAGGACCUGCCCCUAUUUUCUUGGGUGUCCAACUGCCUUCUGUCACUGUCAAUAUUAUGGAAGCAUUUUUAUUUCUAAUUUGAAGCAUGAUACUAGUUACAGUUUAAUUUUCUUGGCAAUGUCUUUAUCAACUUUUGGUAUCUGUGCUAUAUGUUUCUCUUAAAAUGAGUUGGAAAGUGUCUCUUAAAUAAAUUUCUCUGCAGAUUAUUUUUUUUUAAUAUUAGUACUAUUUCUUAUGUAAAUAUUCAAUAGAAUUCACUUGCAAAGCAGUCUAAAUUUUGAUUUUGAUUUUGGAAAUGAUUUUUACUAUGAAUUUAAUAGAUGCAGUGCUAUUUAUACAUCUUAAUUUCUGAGUCAUAUUUAGUUUGCUUUGUUCAUCUGAAAAAUAUUAUUGGCAUAACAUUUUUCCUAAUAGUCCUUUGUUAUACUUUCAAUUUUUGUGGCUUGUAGAAUUAUUUCUGAUUGUAAUUAGUUUUCUCUCUC